GGUUUAUGGUCCAGUUCCAUCAACUAGUACUACCACUGUGACCAUCAACAUUCCUUUAAGAAUUUGCGGGCUCAAACUCAUGCCGGCGGCCAUUUUUCGGGACGAAUAGAUUUGGUCAUCUGGAAAGUGUUUACAAUCCAUCAUAUAUUUAAACCAUCCUUUUAUAAAUAAAUCCUUGCUCUUUUUGUCUGAUUUUUAUGAGAAAUGUACCAAACAAGUAUUUUAUCACUAUUUGAUGUAUUGAGUAAUAUGUAAACAAUAACAAAAGCCCACAAUGCAUGUCAUGACCCUGACACUAAUCCUUUAAAUGAUUCAAGUACAGAGUCUUCAAAUUCAGUUAAUGAUGAUGAUUAAGUUACAGGUAUUACACCACGACUUCUUCUUCAAAGGAUCUCCUGCAAAAAAUAUUUUAACCAAUUAGAUUUCUGAACAGUAAUAUAAAUAUAAAUUAAUCAUUUCCCAGACUUUGGGGAGAGAUUUUACAGACUUCUGAUGGUCAGAAAACGACAUUCUAACAUAUCAGAAACCCUGGCCAAUGUUUUUGCUCUACAGCCUGAGCCUGGGGGGGCCCCAUUUGGCCCAUUGGGGUUGGGGGCUGACGGGUUCGCCCGGUCCGAGCCCAUAGUAGUUAUGCCACUGCUGCUGAUUCAGACACAUUUCUGGUGACCAGCUUGUCA